AGCAGCUACCCAUGCCAGGCACUGUUCUAAAGUUUCAGGUGCAUUAACUCAAUGGGCUUUAUGACCCUCCAGAAUAGGUACCCAGACUUCCUCACACCACAAAACUGGCCAGUGGCGAUUCGAACCCAGGCGGUGUGGCUGUGGAGCUCACACCUGCUCACGGGAAGUCUCAAGGCCGUCUCAAGGGCUCCCUUUACCGACACCACCGGUACUCAAGAAGGUCCACGCUGAUUCCUUCAGGGUUAUUUUGUCUUUCCAACUAAGGUGGACUACAAUGCCUGGGCGUGUUAUUCAGGGCUGCUGUGACAACGUACCACAAAUCGGGUGAUUUAAACAAUAGAGAAUUUAUUGUCUUGAAGUUCUUGAGGCGCCAAGUCCAAAAUCAAGAUGUCGGCCGAGCUGGCUCUUUCAGAGGCCGUGAGGGAGAUUCUGUUCCAGGCCUUCCAGCUAGCAUCCGGUGGUUUCCUGGCAACCUUUGGAGUUCCGAGGCUUGUAGAAGGGUCACCGGAUCUCUGCCUUCCUCUUCUCGUUGUGUUCUCUCUGCACGGGUGUGUGUGCGUGUGUCCAAAUUUCCUUUUUAUAAGAAUACCAGUCAUACUGGAUUAGGAUCCACCCUAACGACUUCAUUUGAACUAAUCUCAUCUGCAAUGACCCUAUUUGCAAAUAGGGUCACAGUUUGUGGUUCUGGGGGUUAGGGCUUCAACAUAAAAAUUGCGUGGGAGGCUGCGUGCCAUAAUUCAAUCCAUAACACUGGGUACAACCAACUAAUCCAAAGAAGAUUUGAAGAAAUGUAACCGAUUUCAGAGGACACGGUUAGAGUUUAUUGGCACAAAUGAACCAAACUAGGUGGGGUGGAAGAGAAAAACUGUAAAGCUACUGCCUUGCAUCAGAUGAAGUCCAGGGUGGAUCAAUGACCUGACUCGACACACAGCUUAACAGAGCCUCAGUGAGGACCGAGGACUUCGAGGGCAGGAGUCCCUAACUUCUCCUUCUAAACUCAUAGGGAAUGCACACAUCCAAUACAAAGAUAUGGUCAUCAUCUUUGACUAUUUAUACAUCCUGACACUAAUGUGAAGAAGCCCAGGGAAGAGAGAUGAUGUGGGGACCCAGACCAGCAAAGGACUCUGCCCAGUCCCCCGUUAAAAACCACUCAAUUUUGGAGUGUCUUAUUAUGCAAAGGUAAUGGAUACAAUCUACUCUUAAAAAAAAAAAAAAAAAAAAAAAGAUUGUUGUUUCACAACUAUACAGAUGCCAUCGCACUGUAAUUCUGCUUUUUGAUGGGCUACAAAAUGGCCCUUUUAAAUAUUUAAACUUUACCGGUACCACGCUCUAACCAGCUGAGCUAACCGGCCAACCCACUAAAUAUUUAAACGUUAAAAGAAAAAAAAGACACCACACACUAAACAGAAUAUUUAAUAUACUUCGUAAGAAUAGAAGGAAUGCAACAAGGAUUAGAAUUAGUGUAUAUUAGACAUUUCUGUAAAAGGUAUUCCAUUUCUCAAAGGCGUCUCCCCAAUUUCCCUGUCUUUUCUAUUUUCUCAGAGCCAUAAGCAGUAAUUGCUACCCUCCUGAGUAAGCUUCUCUGUUGUAUUAGACAGUAAUUAUAUCUUUAAGUUUCAAGUCCUCAUCAUCCCUCCAAACACUUUCCUUUCACUGCACAGUCUCACUGCACUGUUUCACAGUAACAACAUGCUCUGUUCAAAUUCAAAGAGCCUGAACAAAAGCCAGAGGUCCAAGGAUUUAUGAGUACUGAUUUAGUAGCCGUGUCUACAGGCACAACCCUUUUAUUUCUUCGUAACUGUAAUAAGAGAAAUUAAAGCUACUUUAAUGAAAAAGGAACUCAGGAAUGAGAUCAUUAAAUACAACUCACUAAA